GCCGGCGGCUAGCUCUCUGCAACUCUCACAUGGUCGCCCACUGAAGCUAAGCAGGGCUGCGCCCGGUCACUACCUGGAUGGGAGAUCACAUGGGAAAGCUGGGUUGCUGCCGGAA
rfam:Danio rerio chromosome 6, GRCz11 reference primary assembly.